AUCUUUUUAAUUACUUAAAAAAGUAAAAAAUUUAUAUAUAUUUUUUUUUUCAAAAGGUGUGGGUUUUAAAUACGUGCGCGAAUUUAACUUCGCGCCGAAAAUUGAUAAUGAUCCUUCCGCAGGUUCACCUACGGAAA
rnacentral:misc_RNA from 1 species